AAAUUGAAGAGUUUGAUCAUGGCUCAGAUUGAACGCUGGCGGCAGGCCUAACACAUGCAAGUCGAACGGUAACAGGAAGCAGCUUGCUGCUUUGCUGACGAGUGGCGGACGGGUGAGUAAUGUCUGGGAAACUGCCUGAUGGAGGGGGAUAACUACUGGAAACGGUGGCUAAUACCGCAUAACGUCGCAAGACCAAAGAGGGGGACCUUCGGGCCUCUUACCAUCAGAUGUGCCCAGAUGGGAUUAGCUUGUUGGUGAGGUAACGGCUCACCAAGGCGACGAUCCCUAGCUGGUCUGAGAGGAUGACCAGCCACACUGGAACUGAGACACGGUCCAGACUCCUACGGGAGGCAGCAGUGGGGAAUAUUGCACAAUGGGCGCAAGCCUGAUGCAGCCAUGCCGCGUGUAUGAAGAAGGCCUUCGGGUUGUAAAGUACUUUCAGCGGGGAGGAAGGUGUUGCGGUUAAUAACCGCAGCAAUUGACGUUACCCGCAGAAGAAGCACCGGCUAACUCCGUGCCAGCAGCCGCGGUAAUACGGAGGGUGCAAGCGUUAAUCGGAAUUACUGGGCGUAAAGCGCACGCAGGCGGUCUGUCAAGUCGGAUGUGAAAUCCCCGGGCUCAACCUGGGAACUGCAUUCGAAACUGGCAGGCUUGAGUCUUGUAGAGGGGGGUAGAAUUCCAGGUGUAGCGGUGAAAUGCGUAGAGAUCUGGAGGAAUACCGGUGGCGAAGGCGGCCCCCUGGACAAAGACUGACGCUCAGGUGCGAAAGCGUGGGGAGCAAACAGGAUUAGAUACCCUGGUAGUCCACGCCGUAAACGAUGUCUACUUGGAGGUUGUGCCCUUGAGGCGUGGCUUCCGGAGCUAACGCGUUAAGUAGACCGCCUGGGGAGUACGGCCGCAAGGUUAAAACUCAAAUGAAUUGACGGGGGCCCGCACAAGCGGUGGAGCAUGUGGUUUAAUUCGAUGCAACGCGAAGAACCUUACCUGGUCUUGACAUCCACAGAAGAAUCCAGAGAUGGAUUUGUGCCUUCGGGAACUGUGAGACAGGUGCUGCA
rnacentral:rRNA from 1 species